rfam:Daphnia pulex DAPPTscaffold_2677_Cont14357, whole genome shotgun sequence.
GGCAUGUUAGCUCAUUUGGUUAGAGCGCCGUGCUUUUAACGCGGAGGUCAUGAGUUCGAUCCUCUUACGGGCCA